GACGAACGCUGGCGGCGUGCUUAACACAUGCAAGUCGAGCGGUAAGGCCCCUUCGGGGGUACACGAGCGGCGAACGGGUGAGUAACACGUGAGUAACCUGCCCCUGACUCUGGGAUAAGCCCGGGAAACCGGGUCUAAUACCGGAUACGACUUCUCACCGCAUGGUGGGGGGUGGAAAGGUUUGUUCCGGUUGGGGAUGGGCUCGCGGCCUAUCAGCUUGUUGGUGGGGUGAUGGCCUACCAAGGCGAUGACGGGUAGCCGGCCUGAGAGGGCGACCGGCCACACUGGGACUGAGACACGGCCCAGACUCCUGCGGGAGGCAGCAGUGGGGAAUAUUGCGCAAUGGGCGGAAGCCUGACGCAGCGACGCCGCGUGGGGGAUGACGGCCUUCGGGUUGUAAACCUCUUUUACCACUCACGAAGGCUCCCAGUGUUCUGGGGGUUGACGGUAGGUAGUGAAUAAGGACCGGCUAACUAC
rnacentral:rRNA from 1 species